UGCACAGUGGUCAUCCUGCAGGAAAGAGAUGAAGGUCUGACCAGUGAGCAAAGACUUAGGACAUGGUCCCAGAAGCCGGGGAGGGAGCACCUGGGUGGGUUGCUCCAGGAGCACACAGCCCACAAGGGCAGCCGGCACUCUCCCCGGGGCGGGUGAGUGGACUUGUUACAGACUACAGUGAGAUGGCACUCGUGUGAUAAGGCUCUAGUUCAAUCCGCCUUUGUGUCUCAUCAAAAGCCAGUGUCAGCGUCCUCGGCAGACACGUGGGGUCUGUCCCGUCACCCACUUCGGACACGUCCACAGACGCUGCACAGGCACUGGGCCUGCCUCGGAGGCCGGAGGUCCACAGCUCUGCGGACCCGGGAGUGAGGCCAUCAGACGGCAGUCAUCCAACCACCUCGGAGGCCACUGGUGCAAAGUUUCCAUCCGUGCUAGGAUGGCAGGGACUCUCCCCACAGGCCGGACCGGCUGUCCUGCCGGGUAUUUGGAGCUCUGCCUGCCUGCUGGCCGGUUCUGCUCCCGUGCAGAGAGGGGGCUCUCUGGCUGAAAAUACUCUGCAGUGUCUCGGGAGGCCUGAGUUUUCCCUCCGAUAUGGGGGAUUUUCAAAACAAAAGCUCGUGACUUCA